rnacentral:rRNA from 1 species
UAAGACGAACCGUGCGAACGUUAUUCGGAAUCACUGGGCUUAAAGCGCGUGUAGGCGGCCCGGCACGUCCGCCGCUGAAAGCCCCCGGCUCAACCGGGGAAGGGGCGCGGAUACGACCGGGCUGGAGGGGGGUAGGGGGGCCUGGAACUUCCGGUGGAGCGGUGAAAUGCGUUGAGAUCGGAAGGAACGCCCGUGGCGAAAGCGAGGCCCUGGACCCCGCCUGACGCUGAGACGCGAAAGCCAGGGGAGCGAACGGGAUUAGAUACCCCGGUAGUCCUGGCCGUAAACCAUGAGCACUGGGUAGGGGGCUCGCCGAUGGGCUCCCUGCCGCAGGGAAACCGUGAAGUGCUCCGCCUGGGGAGUAUGGUCGCAAGGCUG